rnacentral:tRNA from 1 species
UUGCGGUGUGGGCCAGGCUUGCUGAGCAAGUGCGUGUUCCCAGUGCCCAUCCAGAGGCAACAGUCGCUGGCUCACGGUGCUAUAGCCGUUACCGCUGG